GCUCAACCAUGGAGGGUCAUUGGAAACUGGGAAACUUGAGUGCAGAAGAGGAAAGUGGAAUUCCAUGUGUAGCGGUGAAAUGCGCAGAGAUAUGGAGGAACACCAGUGGCGAAGGCGACUUUCUGGUCUGUAACUGACGCUGAUGUGCGAAAGCGUGGGGAUCAAACAGGAUUAGAUACCCUGGUAGUCCACGCCGUAAACGAUGAGUGCUAAGUGUUAGGGGGUUUCCGCCCCUUAGUGCUGCAGCUAACGCAUUAAGCACUCCGCCUGGGGAGUACGACCGCAAGGUUGAAACUCAAAGGAAUUGACGGGGGCCCGCACAAGCGGUGGAGCAUGUGGUUUAAUUCGAAGCAACGCGAAGAACCUUACC
rnacentral:rRNA from 1 species